rnacentral:rRNA from 1 species
CAGUAGCCGCGGGAAUACGAAGGGGGCUAGCGUUGUUCGGAUUAACUGGGCGUAAAGGGCGCGUAGGCGGGUCUUUAAGUCAGGGGUGAAAUCCCAAGGCUCAACCUUGGAACUGCCUUUGAUGCUGGAGAUCUUGAGUCCGGGAGAGGUGAAUGGAACUGCGAGUGUAGAGGUGAAAUUCGUAGAUAUUCGCAAGAACACAGUGGCGAAGGCGGCUCACUGGCCCGGUACUGACGCUGAGGCGCGAAAGCGUGGGGAGCAAACAGGAUUAGAGACCCCCGUAGUCCCUGUCUCUUAUACA